AGUGAACGCUGGCGGCAGGCCUAAUACAUGCAAGUCGAACGGCAGCACAGUGGAGCUUGCUCCAUGGGUGGCGAGUGGCGGACGGGUGAGGAAUACAUGGGGAUCUGCCCAGUCGUGGGGGAUAACGUAUGGAAACGUACGCUAAUACCGCAUGCGCCCUUCGGGGGAAAGUCGGGGACCGCAAGGCCUGACGCGAUUGGAUGAGCCCAUGUUCGAUUAGCUAGUUGGCGGGGUAACGGCCCACCAAGGCGACGAUCGAUAGCUGGUCUGAGAGGAUGAUCAGCCACACUGGAACUGAGACACGGUCCAGACUCCUACGGGAGGCAGCAGUAGGGAAUAUUGGACAAUGGGGCGCAAAGCCUGAUCCAGCCAUGCCGCGUGAGUGAAGAAGGCCCUCGGGUUGUAAAGCUC
rnacentral:rRNA from 1 species